UUAGUUUACGCCCUGUCGAUUAGUAGUGAGCCACUGCAUUUCAGUUGCCAUAAAAAAGCUAAAGCUCAAAACCGUGCUUAGAAAUAGAAAGCUAAAUUAUCCGCUCGACGCGCCAUCUUCUGGUCGGUAUUCACAACAGUUAGGCUUCUUACGAUUUUGCAUCGUGAUGAGAUCCACACUUGAACUCAUUUAAUUUUUGCAAUAAGCUGAUCGGGGUUGCAAAAAGAGGCGUAUAAAAAAAUGUUACCUUGUCCUUGAAAUUUUGCACAAAAGCCCACCAGCUAGGGUGUAUGAGAUGGGGUGCAACACACACAACUGCCGGUGGCUAAGCCAUCAUUUGGCGCGGGUUAGAUUGGGGGGAUCGUAGCUAGUCUAGUCGGCUAUCGUAAGUCACUUUGGUGAAAUCCGUUCAGCGAAUAACAUCGAGCUCGACCGCACUUGAAGGCUCAAUCAGCAAUAGAGCUAUAAGGCUACUCUAGUGCACAGUUAGUGUGGCUUCGAAAAUUGCACUAGCAAACUUGCAUUGACCCUAAGUCGAGUGAGGUUUUUUAUUCGCUGUGAGCAAUUUAAGCUAACUCAGCAGGCAACCCACUGUUCAACGUGGGUGUUUGUUGGGGCUUAUUUCGCUGCCAAUCUCGGGGCCAAGAAGACGGUAUCCACAACGGUGGUUUGGAGUGGAACACGUGCUACAACCGUAGUAUUGUUGCCAAUAUUAGGAGAGCUCGAACACGGUGUACGAUCAACACACCGGUCUCCAUACGGUUCCGCCGAGCCCGUCGAUUGAAGGCUUCACCACCGCUAAGCCAUCCGAGAAUCAACCACUGCCACGUGUUGGAAAAGCCAUCGUACUAGUUAAGUACGAGUCGUGUUUUGGCGCGUUAGCUGAGACACCAACCACAUGGUCGCCUCUGGUUAUUAGUUGGAGGUUGGAAUCUACCGAUGCGUAAUUUGGUUUGCUGAAUCGAAAAGGUCAGAUUAGAUUAAGACACUUGUGAAUAAUCUUAAGAGCUAUUAUGAUUAGUGACGUCACUCAGGGCUACAGGAACACAAUGAACGCUACAAUUAAACAUAUUGUGUUAGCUCAAUUGAAAGUCGUGUGUUGAAAUUGGUGGGAAGCGUUGACGGUUUCAUUGAUUUGGUUUGCGUGGGAGUAAGAUUUUGAUUUGUCCGCAUAGUUGUGGGUUGUGCAAUUCAUCUCAUACUUGUUUAGAAAAGUUAGGGCCGCAACUCGAUUGGUAAGUUGGGAAGAUUAAGUGGGACUGAGUGUUAAAACUGUUAGCCCGCCUUGAAUCAGAGUCUCUAGCCGGGACACAAAUCGCGCACCAACAGCCUCUCGGUUUCCGGGAGUGGCGCUAUAAGCUGUUGGCUGUUUCGGGAACUAAAACAUUCGUUACAAAUCUGGCGCCCAACGUGUGGGGCUCGUAAAACAGUUGAGUUAAAUACAGUUAACCUAAAAAUAUUGAUUUCAUAACCACAAAACUUGGACACAUUAGAACCAAAUUCGCUUACGUUGAUCAGACCAUCGCAAUCGUAAGAAUCAUAAAUUCGUUUGUAAAGUUAUUCGUAUGAUAUAUUAUUGAAUUCGUUAAUUAAUUGGUUUGGAUUAUUUGGUAAUAGUAUUAGACAAAGUUUAUUAUUGCAUUUUUUUUUAAUUUUGGAUUGGAUUGGAUUAGUUUGUUAUUUUUUGUCACAUAUAUUUGAAUUAUUUAAUUAUAUCUUUAGUUUCCAAUUACGUGCAAAAUGGAGCAUUACCACAUUAACGCAGAUCACCUCGAGGAAGAGGAAUUGAAUUAUGAGCUUGCUUUAAGAGGAGCCAAUGUUAAUGAGCCUGUACAAUCAAAAAGAAGAACUUUGCGAAUUUUGUUGCGUGAUCAAGAAGAUCCUGCGACGAUUGUUUACACAACGCCUCAAGCAUUGACAGACGACUUUGUUCGUAUAACAAGUAAAUUGAAAGAAAUUGAGCAAACUUUGAGCAUUGGACGACCUCAUGGUAGCUUGUACUCUCGAUUAGUACAUUACCACAGACGGUUAGGGAGAUACACACCGAAAAACGAAUUGGAGCAACAAAACCAAAUAGUUUUGAAAAACCUUGUAAGCGGUUUGGCA